GUAGGUGGCAAGCGUUGUCCGGAAUUAUUGGGCGUAAAGCGCGCGCAGGUGGUUCUUUAAGUCUGAUGUGAAAGCCCCCGGGCUCAACCGGGGAGGGUCAUUGGAAACUGGGGAACUUGAGUGCAGGAGAGGAAAGUGGAAUUCCACGUGUAGCGGUGAAAUGCGUAGAUAUGUGAAGGAACACCAGUGGCGAAGGCGACUUUCUGGCCUGUAACUGACACUGAGGCGCGAAAGCGUGGGGAGCAAACAGGAUUAGAUACCCUGGUAGUCCACGCCGUAAACGAUGAGUGCUAAGUGUUGGGGGGUUUCCGCCCCUCAGUGCUGCAGCUAACGCAUUAAGCACUCCGCCUGGGGAGUACGGUCGCAAAGACUG
rnacentral:rRNA from 1 species